rnacentral:rRNA from 1 species
GCUCGAGUGUGGUAGGGGCAGAGGGAAUUCCCGGUGUAGCGGUGAAAUGCGUAGAUAUCGGGAAGAACACCAGUGGCGAAGGCGCUCUGCUGGGCCAUCACUGACGCUCAUGGACGAAAGCCAGGGGAGCGAAAGGGAUUAGAUACCCCUGUAGUCCUGGCCGUAAACGAUGAACACUAGGUGUCGGGGGAAUCGACCCCUCCGGUGUCGUAGCCAACGCGUUAAGUGUUCCGCCUGGGGAGUACGCACGCAAGUGUGAAACUCAAAGGAAUUGACGGGGGCCCGCACAAGCGGUGGAGUAUGUGGUUUAAUUCGAUGCAACGCGAAGAACCUUACCAGGGUUUGACAUCCUGCGAAUCUCUUGGAAACUUGAGAGUGCCUUCGGGAGCGCAGUGACAGGUGGUGCAUGGCUGUCGUCAGCUCGUGUCGUGAGAUGUUGGGUUAAGUCCCGCAACGAGCGCAACCCACGUCUUUAGUUGCCAGCAUUUAGUUGGGCACUCUAGAGAGACCGCCGGUGAUAAACCGGAGGAAGGUGUGGAUGACGUCAAGUCAUCAUGCCCCUUACAUCCUGGGCUACACACGUACUACAAUGCUACGGACAAAGGGCAGCAAGUUCGCGAGGACAAGCAAAUCCCAUAAACCGUGGCUCAGUUCAGAUCGUAGGCUGCAACUCGCCUACGUGAAGGAGGAAUCGCUAGUAAUCGCAGGUCAGCAUACUGCGGUGAAUACGUUCCCGGGCCUUGUACACACCGCCCGUCACACCAUGGAAGUUGGCCACGCCCGAAGCCGUUACUCCAACCCUUGUGGAGGAGGACGUCGAAGGUGGGGCUGAUGACUGGGGUGAAGUCGUAACAAGGUAACCGUA